rnacentral:misc_RNA from 2 species
AACGCACAUUGCGCCUUCUGGUAAUCCGGAAGGCAUGCCUGUCUGAGCGUCAUUACACCAUUCAAACCUUUCUUUUAUUAGAAGUGGCUUGGUUUUGGAAGUAAAUUGUCAGUUUUACUACUGCGGUUUCUUCUGUAAUGCAUUGACGAGCGUCUACUGUUCCUUAGUUGUAGCAAGCAUUUUCUCAACUUCAAGGUAGCAGUAGAUGUCCUACUUUCUAUUGUCUUGUCCUUUGGGAUUAACAUUUUAAAGUUUGACCUCAGAUCAGGUAGGAAUACCCGCUGAACUUAA